rnacentral:lncRNA from 1 species
GGAUGUGGGCAGACACUGGAGAGUGCACGAGGACGGUCAUGGGACAGCGAGACAGCUCUCUCAGGUGUCCGCACAGUCUCUGGCCUCGAAGUCUCCAGUCCUCAGAGUCUUCUGCCAGGUCUCACCUCACCAGGUGUCUUGCCUCUGCACAUGAGUCUUUUAGCAAACUCCAUGUUGAGUCUGGAUCAGCUGACAUCACUCUGCCAAUCAGCCCGCGUUGCAGAAGCUGCGAGAAGCUACCAGCACACCACCAGAAGGGUUUUUUGGUGUGUUUUUCUCUUUGGAGUCCUGACAAAGAUCAUCAAUAAAACAAUGGUAAAGUGUAC